CCUGACCCCAAGCAUCUGAAACACUUGAUGUCUCGAUUCCUUGAUGGUUGUGAAUCUGUUUUGGGUGCUGUUUUACUAGCACUUUCUUCUUUCCCUUUCUGCCACUCAUUCCUACCUUUAGGUACAACUUUAUUACCUUUGUUGUUGUUGUUCCACCCUGGCCUCCAAGAUGGAUUAACACUCGAAGUUCCUAACGGCUGCCUAGCUGCCCCUUUCCUCUUCAGUUGUCUCUCUAUUUUCAUAGCCACAUGCAACAUGUCUUCCAACUCCACAUAAUGUUGCAACUCCACUACAUUGGCAAUUUUCCUAUUCAAUCCAUUCAAGAAUCGUGCAAUGGUAGCCUCCCGAUCCUCCACCACAUUGGCCCUAAUCAUGAGUAUUUUCAUCUCCUUAUGAUAGUCCCUACACUUUUUGACCCUUGAUAUAGACCUAGCAGUUUUUGAUAAAUCUCUCGGUAAUAGUGGCUAGGAACAAACCUCUUUCUCGUCAAUGACUUCAAUUCCUCCCAAGUGCUGAUUGGUCUUCCCCCACUCCUACGUUAUGAAGUAAUCACUUGAUCCCACCAUGAAAUUGCAUAGUCACUGAACUCCAAAACUGCUAGCUUCACCUUUUUCUCCUCUGAGUAGUUAUAACACUCGAAGAUCAUUUCAACCUUCCUUUCCCACUCCAGGUAUGCCUCGGGAUCACUCCUUCCUUUGAAUGAAGGAACUGUCAUUUUUAUAUUUCCCAAGUUUCUAUCCAACUCCUCCCUGCAAUUAUUUCGACCCCGUCUGUCGAACCUAUCGCCUCUAUUCCUCAUCCUUCCCAUCUCAACACCGUGAAAUUCAUCUUCACCCAUGUCACUCCCAUAUCCAUACUCCUUUCGCCUUUCCCUCUUAGGCUCCCAUCUAUCUGGUCCUCUGGUAUUGGAUACAUCAACUCGAUGCCCCCGCUAAGAUUAGCCACCGAUGUAUCUAAUCUAUUCAUUCAAGCCUCCUGCUUCUCCAACCUAUCUCUCACAUCUCCAAACGCUCUCUUAAACCUCUGCACCAAUUCCUCCGAUGCAUUGCUAUUGUCGGC
rnacentral:lncRNA from 1 species